rnacentral:rRNA from 1 species
UCCUACGGGAGGCAGCAGUGGGGAAUUUUGGACAAUGGGGGCAACCCUGAUCCAGCAAUGCCGCGUGUGUGAAGAAGGUCUUCGGAUUGUAAAGCACUUUAAGUUGGGAGGAAGGGUUGUAGAUUAAUACUCUGCAAUUUUGACGUUACCGACAGAAUAAGCACCGGCUAACUUCGUGCCAGCAGCCGCGGUA